rnacentral:rRNA from 1 species
GUGAGACAGUUCGGUCUCUAUCCUCUGUGCGCGUAGGAAAUUUGAGAGGAUCUGACCCUAGUACGAGAGGACCGGGUUGGACGAACCUCUGGUGUGCCAGUUGUUCCGCCAGGAGCACCGCUGGUUAGCUACGUUCGGGAUGGAUAACCGCUGAAAGCAUCUAAGCGGGAAGCCGGCCUCAAGAUGAGAUUUCCAUGACUUUAUGUCGUGAGGGCCGCAGCUAGACUACUGCGUUGAUAGGCCGGAUGUGGAAGUGGUGAAAGCCAUGGAGCUGACCGGUACUAAUAGCCCGAUAACUUGAUAUA